AAAUUUUUGACAUUAAAAUGAGGACCAGCGCGCAAUGCGCGCAAAUUCCCAGGGAUUAAGGCUGGAAAUAUCCCAGGCCCCAAAACGCAGCACUGAGAUGCGGACUAAAAUGUAAACAUGUGCAAAUUUCAGAGCCAAAGUUAAAAAUGAAGUAAAAUACAUUAGGCGCAAUUGAAUGCUCGUGCGAAUAGGGGGGACUGAUGUGCAAUUAUCCCCUCUCCGUAGGAAUGCGCGGAUCCUAGGGGCCAAGAAUCGGGUCAGAUCGGAUAGGCCUAUACGGCGUCGUUUCAAGGCUACCGAAUCAUGCCUUAAACGGCGUCUCUUCAUUUUUCCAAUUAAAAGAGAAAAAAAAUCCUAAAAUAAACCUAAGCAUUGCAGCAAAACAAAAGGGGGAAAAGGAAAGGGAAAACCCUAAAUGCUUGCCCCUAUCUGACCCGCCGUUCAAUCACCACCAUUCUACCAUUACAAUCGGUGGAUGAUAGCAUGCGAUGGUGUCCCCUAUUCGAAACCCAGCCUUAAGGCUCAACAAUUUCGGCCUCAAAAUCCCCUCUCAACCUUCGAUGUCGACGAAGGAGAUGGAGAUUUCAAUGGUGCAUUCGCAAAGGUAAGCCUUCUUUUUUAUUUUUUUAUAUUUAAAUCACAUGCACACUCAAAAAAGAGAAACGCAUAAAAAAGAAACUGAGAAUCACCUUUUCAAUAGUUUUCAAUUUGAUUUUGUUGUAUUUAGUAUGCGUAAUGUAUUUCUGUGAAAAGAACCACCCAUUUACAUUGUUUUCAUUCGGUUUUAUAGCCGAAAAAUAAAAUAAAUAAAUAAAAGAAAAUACAAAUUCCUUGUUGUAAUUUGCUGUAAUCUGCUGUCAAUUGCUGCUUUCUCUUUUUGUUUGUUAAUUUGUUGCAAGUGUGGAGGCCAUGGUGCUGCUGACAAGGCCAGGCCGUUCGUGGGGUGACGUGGAACAACGGAGGUGCACGUGCGGCAUUGAUUUGCACUGGAAACCAAUUGCGGCACAAGCAGAAAAGAAACCCUAGGGUUUCUGUUUUUGAAAGAGUUUGGGUUAUUGGGCUUGUUACCGGGCUAUUACAAUUUGGGUUAAUGAGUUCUGAAAUUUGGGCUGUAAAUGGAUUGUUAAUAAGUUUGGACUUUUAUAUUUUUUUUUGGUUUAUUUUGUGUUAACGAGCCCGGGCGAAUUGGGCCUAUUACACCACGUAUGUAUGAUACCUAAGUGGUAGAUGAUAUUAUAUAUGUGAAUUUCAUUAGGUUGAUAUGACCUUAUGGAUUGACAUUGUGCAAAUACUCAUAUGCUUCAUAUAAUGUUGAUGAUUUGAGUACGAGCUUACUAAGCUUUUGAAAGCUUACUGUGUAUGUGUGUUUGAAUUGUUUUGUAGAUGUCGAAGCUACUGCAAGCUCGGGGAUCUUCUAGGAUCAUCAGCACACUAUCGAACUUUAUUUUGGAAUUUUUGAAAAUGUAUAAAAUGUAACACCCCUAACCCAUACCCGUCACCGGAGGGUUAAAGAGUAUUACCAUACAAGCACGAAAUUUCAGUUAACUUUAUUAGAAUAACUCCCGUUGGCACACUUACAAUAUACAAAAGAGUCAUCUUAAGAUAAUGGGUAUACUGAUUAAUUCUUAAGUUCAAUUCACAUCAAAACAUUGAAAACUUUAAUCGAAUAUCAACC
rnacentral:lncRNA from 1 species